rnacentral:rRNA from 1 species
CCUACGGGAGGCAGCAGUGGGGAAUAUUGGGCAAUGGGCGCAAGCCUGACCCAGCAACGCCGCGUGAAGGAAGAAGGCUUUCGGGUUGUAAACUUCUUUUCUCAGGGACGAAGCAAGUGACGGUACCUGAGGAAUAAGCCACUGCUAACUACGUGCCAGCAGCCGCGGUAAUACGUAGGUGGCAAGCGUUAUCCGGAUUUACUGGGUGUAAAGGGAGUGUAGGCGGGAAAGCAAGUCAGAUGUGAAAACCAUGGGCUCAACCUGUGGCCUGCAUUUGAAACUGUUUUUAUUGAGUACUGGAGAGGCAGACGGAAUUCCUAGUGUAGCGGUGAAAUGCGUAGAUAUUAGGAGGAACACCAGUGGCGAAGGCGGUCUGCUGGACAGCAACUGACGCUGAGGCGCGAAAGCGUGGGGAGCAAACAGGAUUAGAUACCCCUGUAGUC